GACUCCUUCCAGCUUCUCUUCCUCUCUGCUCCUGUUCCGGCCAUCAGCAGGCUUGGGGCUAUAGCUGACUCACAGCUGAGCUCCCCACCCCUCCUGCUGACUCAUGGCUUCCUCCAGCUGACUUCUUUAUCUCCUUUGCAGCAGCCUGGCUUCUCCUGUCUUGGGGCUGGCUUUUCUUGUAUCCUUGUAUUUCAGCUCCAACCUCUACUACCAUCGCCCAGACUCUCUCACUGUCUCCCAGUAUAAAUUCCCUGGGUCAGACAGGCUACUGGCCAGCUGCAUAGAUCUACACAAUCCUGCUCCAGCCACACUGUGCCCUCAAGAGAUGAAAAGUUGCUGAAGGAGGAACUCCAUCUGUGUAGCUAUGAGGAAGUUGUCAUUUAUGCUAGGGUGAAAUAUUCCAACCAUGCAGCUGUUUGGGAGUGGAAUAUGCUACCUUUCCAACUCAGUGUCCACUGCUGCGGACAUAGAGGCUCUAAGAACAACUUGAUAGCCUUCAAAGUCUGUCUGCUGGUUUGUCCUGGGAAUGAGCUGGGGCUGAGGAGAGAAGCCAGAUGGCUGCAACAGGGGAAUGCCAUAAUAGCGAUUGGUCUAGAUUUCCAAGAAACUUGAAUACAGGUGAGUGGGCAUUGGCAGUCACCUUGGCUUCUGUCCAGCUACCAAAGCACAGGUCCAGACCAGUGGGACCCAAGCUAAGCACAGUUCCUCUUUACUCUAGGUCCAGCCAAGGGAACUGCAUUGAGCUGCCCCUGAUUCCUGUUUAGGUGGAUCCUCCCUGCAUCUUCUGUAACAGGUGCCCUUGCUGUUGGGUUAGCUUGCUGACUCAAGGGAGGUCCUUGCUUACUCUCAUUGUCCCCUUCUGGUUGCCAACACAAUUGACAAGGAUGUCAGGAGCUCUGGAUCUGCCAUCUUCAGUGCUGUGUUCCAGAGUGGAGCAGACCUCACCCCUGUAAUUUCCCCAGAGCAUACAGCCUGAGAGCACCUCCCAAAGCUGCUGUAGAGGCAUGUGACCUGCUGUGGGUUGCCUUUGCAUUAAUUACCUGGCAGGGUUAUCAAGCACCACUGGCCUUGUCUCAGAAAAGGGCUUCUUCACAAUCAACAUUAGAGACAGCACAGAGCUGGAGAAGAUGAAAAGCAGUGUGAGCACAAAAGAAUAGAUGACAUUUGGAGAAGGGAGAGCAGAUGCAGACAUAGAGACUGAUUGUAAUAUGAAGUGACUGAGUGCCAGAUGCCUAACUGCCGGCUUCUGGGGGUCUUUCAGGUUAGGACAAAGCAGGCACAUGAGAGACCCUGUGGCAGAGGGCAUUAGAGUUGACCCUUGGUGGUCUCUUACCCUCUCUGUCCUUUGCUUUUUUUUCUCAUCUGUAAAAUUUGAUAGUAAUGCAUUCUAACUGGAAAGUAAUGGUGAGAGAAUGUGGACUAACAGGACAGCUGUCUAACAGGCAUUUUAGCCAUAAUUACCAAGACCCCAGGCACAGGAAGCAGGCAAGGAAUUGAUAGACACAAAGAAUGAAGCUCAUUUUGUAGGACUACAGUGGACUUUUUCUUGUAGUUUUGAACCCAUAUGCUAGGUAAGCACUUAACUAGAGUUUUGUCUACAAUCCCCAUCUCCAUAAAAUUAUUUAUUUUCUGAGACAGGCCUCCACGUAUAGCCGAGGCUUGCCUUGAACUCACUCUUUUUGCACAGGUUGACUUCAGAUUCACAGCAAUCUUCCUGCCUCAGCCUUUCAGGCUUUCAAGGGUUAGGAUUACAGGUGCUCAGUGAGUGACAAUAGUGUGUGUUUUUUUGUGUGUGUGCUAGGAAUUGAAUUUAGAGUCUCACAUGUGCUAGGUCUACCACGGAACUAUAUUCCAGCCCAGAGACAGGUUCUGACAAAUUAUGAAGGUUGGAACUUGCUAUGUGGCCUGGGGAGGCCUCAAACUGGCAUCCUCCUUCGUCAGUCUCCAAGUAGAUGAGCUUAUAGGCCUGCACCACCAGGCCUACCUAAAAUAGAUUUUGAUUUAAAUGCUUGUCUUGUUUGUUUCCCAGAGCUGACUGUAAUCCCAGUUGGUGAACUGGGACUGUGACCCGCUGUUGUGAACUGGCAGUGUUUGCUGGUUUCCCCACUGUGUUUUUGGUUCAUCUCUGGCUCCAGGGUGAUGGUCUUGAGUGCAGAGCCUGGAAGGAAGAAUUGCUCACCCACUGUGGCUGCAUUUCCAUCAUACAGUGCAGCGGACUCAAUAGAGCACACUGAAGAGCAGCAUGUAGCAAAUGAAUUGGGAAUGAUGAGUAUAAAUAUCUAUUUGUUUAUUUGGUAUUUUAAGACAGAGUUUCUCUGUGUAGCCCUGGUUGUCCUGGAUCUCACUCUGU